AGCUUUCAGUACGUGACCUGCGGAGGAUCAUUACAGUAUAAUGGAGGUGCGAUGGCUGUUGCUGACCCUUCAAAGGUCGUGCACGCUUGAGCUCUCUCUCACACACAUCCACCUCACCCUUUGUGCAUUGCCGCGUGGGUCCUCCUUGUAGGGGGGCUUGCGUUUUUCACAUAAAACUAGAUGUGGUAUAGAAUGUCUUUUAUUUUUGCGGUUACACGCAAUCAAUAUAACUUUCAACAACGGAUCUCUUGGCUCUCGCAUCGAUGAAGAACGCAGCGAAAUGCGAUACGUAAUGUGAAUUGCAGAAUUCAGUGAAUCAUCGAAUCUUUGAACGCACCUUGCGCCCCUUGGCAUUCCGAGGGGCACACCCGUUUGAGUGUCGUGAAAUCCUCAAAACCCUUGUUCUUCGAUUGGAGAAAAAGGGUUUUGGACUUGGAGGAUCAAUGCUUGCUCUUACUUUUGAAGGCAAGCUCCUCUCAAAUAAAUUAGUGAGGUUCGCUUUGCUGAUCCUUAACGGUGAUAAGACAUCUCUACGUUUUGGAUUUGGUGACUGUCCCUUGCUUCUAACUGUCCUAUGGACGAUGAUGGGUGGCCCCGGUCACCACCUUACAUUGGUGGGAGGCUGGACCCACAAAAAGGACCUUGACCUCAAAUCGGGUGAGACUACCCGCUGAACUUAAGCAUAUCAAUAAGCGGAGGAAAAGAAACUAACAAGGAUUCCCCUAGUAACUGCGAGUGAAGCGGGAAAAGCUCAAAUUAAAAUCUGGUGGUCUUGGCCAUCCGAGUGUACUAGAGAUGCAU
rnacentral:rRNA from 1 species